rnacentral:lncRNA from 1 species
CAUUCUUACAAUGCUCUACUGUAUAUAGAGAGCCAUCCCUAAGUUCUAGGUAGCUUGUGUUAAAUUUAACUAAAGUUGGCCUGAAGAUGCCUCAGUACCUUGAGUAUUUACAUAACAAACUGCACCUUACUUAGUACGUAAACAGAAUAAAAGCCUAAUUUAGGAGUAUGCAUUUUUUGUGACAAGUAGUUGUGUCUCAGCCAAUAACAAGAUGCUGAGGUUCAGCCAAUCACGGGCAGUCAACUCAUCACACCACAUCCAAAUACGGCCAAUGCUGAGCUGUAACCAGUGAAGCUGUUGCUGUGCCUCACUUCCGUUCCGUUUCCUGGUUCUGAGGGGGCUCGAUUUGCGAAUAGUUCUUGGCUCAACUAAACUUUGUUAAAUUUAAUUUGCUGAAAUUUUUUUUUUUUCACGCCUGGAAGUGUGUGUAAAGUGCCUCCGUAGGUAGGCAGCAGAGCUAAGACUGGAAGUCAGGAUUGCUGGACUCCACAGCCCAUGGGAAAUGUGUCCCUCCUUCAUAAAGAAGCCUGAGUCUUCUCAUUGAGAUUGUUCUCUUUAGCUGUGUAAUGGGCUUGCCACAGAUGCCCUCUUAACUCAUGCCCAGGUGCCCCCUUUUGGCUCUCUGCUAGCUGCCCCUGUUCCCUGGCUGAGUUAGACAGGAAACUCCCUUGGACCACAUGUAGAAGGAUCGAAGAAGUGGAAAAAUAAAGUAAGCAACAGUGACUUCUGAUGGGUGUGAAGAAUGCAGCUGCAAAGCUGCAGAGAUGGCCGUGCUGGGGCUGGCAGGAAGCUCGGGCUCCACAAGGAACGCACUGGUCAGUCUCAGGAGCAGCCUCAGCCAGGUGGCCUCCUCCCCAGCAAUUUCCUUCCAGGACCCCCUGUGGAGCCAGUGAAAUGAAUGCCAAUACAACUGCUGCCCAGGUACAAACAGGCCUCUGGGGGGCUGGGGCUGCAGGUAGCUUGUUUAACACAAGCUAACAGCAGGAUGUGGUGGAUGCCAUGGUGUGCUGCCCACCUCCCCUGGAGGACCAAGGCACUGUCUCCCUUAGUUGACAGGCUGUUGCAUCCCUCCCUGGGGGUUGCUCUCAGCUGCAGGGUACUGCCCCACCCAACAUCACGUCCUCUCGCUGGAGGCACAAAGCCUCGGCCCAUAGAUUCAUUUGGGACAACCUUGAAGAACCCUCUCAGCUCCAGAGCUCCCCAUGACCUCUGCUGAGGCUGCUGUCCCUCUGCUCUGUCCUGCUUUCUUUCCUCAAGUACUCCUCAGUGAACCCUUGCAUGCUAAUCCCACAGUUUCAGCCAGUUUCCCAGGAGCUGCACCUAAGACCACGGAGAACUCUAGCCUGGAAGAUUGAAAAACUUAGUUCUAUACACUGUUUUGUUACUAACUUGUUGUGUCACCUCAGGCAAGUCCCAGCUUCUCUCUGGGCCUUCAACUGCAAAAUGAGGGAAUUCUACCUGAAAGUUCCUUUCAACCGGGACUGUCCUUGAGUUGGGCUGAAACAGGAGCUCAGGGCAAGUCCACAAUAUCUGGUCUCUCAUGAGUAGGGACCAGGCAUUUGCUGCUUGCCUGUGACAAUCUCAGGUAAUUCAGUGUAAUUGUUGUUAGUGUCCCUUUCGCUCUCAACACUGUCUUGGUUUGGAUGAUUCUUUUUUUUUUUUUUUUUUUGGUUAUCCUACUGAAGAUACCUGGGACAUGAGGGAGAUGCAGCCAGGAGGAGAAAGCACAGAGUGAAUUCAGAGGGUCCAGAGUGCUGUCUGUCCCUGUGUCUUCUGCACCCUCUCCCUGGCCCUGUGGCACCAGAUGAGCUCCAAUCCUGCAGAUUAAGCAUCUCCGCCUGACUCUUCUGUGGCCUUUUUGUUCCCCGGGGUCUGCAGAUGGAGGGCACAUAGUACAGCCAGCCUUUAUGGGGGCAGCAAAGAGUUAAAGCAGCUCCCUGAGCGCCAGACAACAGCCUCAUCAGCAGGCCCUGAUUCUGAUUAAACAGCUGUGCGGAGAGGUCACACUCCACUCCAACCGUAGCUCCUGUUACCGACUCAGGAGCAAACAAACCAGCCCAGAAGUCACAGGUAUUCCUUUUGUAUCCUGUAACCAGCUGGACUUUUGAGUACCUCAUCCUUCUAUAAAACUGCCCCCUCCUCUCAUCUUGCCCCAGGGCCAGAGUGAGGCCUGUUGAAGCACAGUGAGGGGAUGGAGAAGAGGAAUUGGGGCCCUGCGUUUCCCUGUCUUCCUGUUUUCCUAGCCUCAGCACAAAUGGCCUUAGCAGUGCACCCAGUUCGGGGCCUGCUGGAUGAAUUCGGAAGACCAGACCUCUCACCCAAGCUCUGGUUGUCAUCACAGUGUGUGGCUCUGGAGGGGCCGCUCCCUCUCUAAGUCCUUCUUCCCCAUCUGAGGAAUGGAAGGUCAGCCCUCCACGGAUUGCAUGUGCCUUCCAGUUCUUGGAUCCCUUUGGCCCUGCCUUCUUCUCCCUCAUGUUUUCCUGGGCUGAGUCUUCAUCUCAGAUACCGCUGCUCUCUCCACCUCCCUAGGGAUCCGAUCUAGGUCUCCCUGAGAUCACUGAAUCUCAUGUUUUAGCCUCAGAUCCUCAGCAUUAGCAAUGUCCCGUGAGGCCCAGGCUUCCCUAUGGCUUCACUGAAGGAGCAGAAUCAGGGCAUGGGAUCUCCCAGCCCCGCCUCACCCUACACAAAUGUGUCUUUUCUCCACCAGCAGCAAAAACUUUUAGAAAACUUCUAAAGAGGUAGCUUCAAGGACAGGAAGAAGGGAUACAAGGCAGAGGAAGGCCUGCGGAGACGGCGCCUCAUUCUCUGCUCCCUGGCCCUGUGAAAACUCCUAAGAGCAUUUGGCCCUGUGGGGGAUUUCUGAAGCAACCCGGCGCAACCCCACCUUGGCAGAAACCCUCCCUUCUCUGUGCUCUUUUCCUGUGUUGUGACAGAUGCUGCUCUGAUAUCCUUGGUACCCAGCUCCCAAAGAAGAAAACAGAUCACCCAUCACUGGGUAAUUAUAGAGCAACUGAAAGGCCAUUUAGCUACUGUGUGAUAAGCAAUAGACUAUUUUAAUAAUAACCAAUUACCAUACAUUAUAGUAUAUCAUUUGGCAUUUGUUGAUCUACUGGGGUCUCACCUGUUCCUUCCUUUAUGGAGCAUUUUGUGGCUGUUCACACUUUCCCCAACAGAAGUUGUGCCACUUUCUAAUUGAAGCACUAUUUUUAGGAAAGAGUUAGGAAGUUUGUAGAGGUGGUGCAAAUUAUAUCAUGCCAAGUAGAAGGAUACAUUCUGCCAAGUGUCUUCUCUGACAGCUCUGCCAUUAUGCUGUGCUCAGGAGGAUAGAGAGUGAGAUUUGUUUCAUGAUCUGCAUUAGCCUUUCGACAUUAAGGGAAGUGUAAACCUGGAGGUCUCCUGCUGUCCAGGCAGACAUGUGGGCAAUCCAAACAGACACUGCUCUCUGCUGCUGACCAUUCCUUCCUGGCUGAGCUGCAUUCUCACUGCCUGGUGAGCAGGAAGUCUUGAGGCCUAGCAGCCCACUCCAAGGUCUGCCAUGGAUAGCAGAGCAGGCCCUGUCCAAGCCACAGAGGUUCUUCAAAGAGCCAGGGAAGAUGACCUUCUAAUCGCUAAGAUCUGCUCAGCGCAUUCCCCUAGCCUGGGCUCCCCUCUUUACAUUCACUUGCUCAGCCACUUCUCUAGGGCACAAGCCUGCCACCAAAUAGAUAGCCAGGCUGGUUCUGGGUGCAGUGGCCACCCUCACGUUUAUGUAUCCACUGUACUCUUUCCAUGAUCUCCCGCAUCCAGAGGCUUAGCUCUGAAUCCUUUCCUCCCAAGAAGAUGAUUAGAGUCCUCAUGAAAAUUGUCAACCCUUUUCACACACACAUAUUUAAGUUCAACCUCCAGUGAAACCCCCUGUUAUGAGCUGCCGGAUUUAUAAAGUGGUAGUGGUUUUUGUUUGGGACAGGCCUUUAGGAUAUCACAGUUUACUCUUCUGCCCUCACAAAGCAGAUAUGGUUUAAUCCAUUAGAUGCUAUCAUCACUGCCAAGUCCAUUCACUUUCCCCACAUCCGUGUCUACCACUCAGGCUGCCACCACCCCUCACCUGGAUUAUUGCAGUAUUCCUUGCUCCUGCCUUGCCCCGCAACCGUCAAUUCCCCAUACAGCAGCCAGACAGGUUUUGUUAAAAGUAUACUCAGAUCACGUCACUCUGCUGCUCAGACUGCCCUAAUGACUUUCUAUCUUAUUCAUAGUUAACAAUAAAUAGGUAUCUUUUUAAAAACCCACAAUAAAAAACAAAGGCAAAACUUACUAAUUACAAAGCCCUACGUAAUCUCUACCUUCCUCAAGCCACCCCCUUCCACAGUUACCUUGUUGUCCCUCUCCCUGAAUCAUCAAUGAGUUCACCUUGCUUACUCCAUCCAGUCCCACUGACCUAUUUGCAAUGUGAUUUGCAAUGUCUUUGGACACAAUGAGGCCAUUUUACUUGAAAAAAAAAAAUCUUUAAAUCAUUUGUGUUGCUUUUAAUAAAGAAAAUAAAGAAGCUUUAUUCUUA